rnacentral:lncRNA from 1 species
GGCCUUAUCUCCUUGGUUUAAACGUCUGUUCUUAGGCAUGGGAUUUGACUUGCUAGCUUACGGCGCAUUUAUUGCUUGUGCAGGGCCUCCAUGCUAGUGACAAGACUUGACCUUUAUGCUUAUGACAAACAUUCCAUCAAUCAUUCGAAUAAGAUCCGUGCAGGUGAUCUCUUGGGAGAAGUGACCAUGGAGGAUGCUUGUGGUUGAGGCUCGCGAAUCAACUUCGGGGCUUCGUCUUCCAAGCCUCGGGCCAUGGGCCUCGGUUAGAAGCAGCUCGGAUCUAACCCCACCUCGGAAGGAAUGCCACGUGGAUCAGGAUCAGUGGGCCACCGGCCCAAGUGGGUAGGACAGGUGUGACAACACGCAACACCUUGUUUUGCA